UAUAAAAAAAACAAAAAAAGAAAAAACUGGUGAUGGUUAGGGUAUAAAAUCACGUCAGCGUGAUAAAUAAUAAGUUCAUUGAAAUCUUUAUUUUUAGUGAAUUCUUUUUGUGUAAGGCCCAUGGCAUUGGGCCUUAAUUUUUGCAAAGGCCCAAUUCUCUCUCUCUCUCUUUCUAGUACUCUAGGUUUCACUGUACAAUGCACAUGGACAUUUCACUCUUUCUCGUCUUUUGGUUCACUACAAAUUGAAAAAGAUUCCAGCUUUGGGCAUGGGAGAUCGUCAAUCAAUUUUUCAGGGGUUUGAUUUCAAAAGUUAAUGAAAGGGGGACAGUUUAAUCAAAGCACAAUGUUGUUAAUUGAAGGAAGCAAAGCUGCUGGUGAGUUCUUUUCCCAUGAAUUUAAAUUUCUUUCUUGCUUCUUGCUUCAUUCAAUUGGUGAGAACCACUACACUGUACAUCGUGAGAAAACGCAUUUCAAUCACCUCCAUGAAAUCAAAUCCCAUUUCUUCUAAGUGGAAGCCUUGAAUGCCAUAUUGGAACCCCAUGAACUUAGUUCUAGAGCAAAGAGGUAGGUUAAAGAGAAAAAAGAAAAUAGAAAAGCUAUUUUGCUUGUAAUAGAGCAAUUGAAAUAUGGCAGUAACUAUCCCAAAUAAUUAAGUCCCAAAACACUUGCCUUCAUCUUUUCUGUACUUUGCAAAGGGUUGAUGUUUAGUAACCCUUUGACUUGUUAUUAUCUAAUUAGAGUUGGGGAUUCCAUUUGGAUUAAUGGGAAAUAAGGCUUUAGCUUUUAGAGUGGACUCAAUUCCAUACAAUUGUAUAACCCAGUUGCAGUUGCAGGACCUGCUUUUGAUUGCUUGAGGAGGAAAGUCUAAACUAGUUGGAAGCCACCUGCAGAUUGCUAUUUGGCAAUUAGAAUAUGUAAGAAGAUAGACUCAAUUUGAAGGAGCCAAUUAGAAUCCAACUGUCAAGACUCCACC